rnacentral:rRNA from 1 species
UACGAAGGGGGCUAGCGUUGCUCGGAAUGACUGGGCGUAAAGGGCGCGUAGGCGGAUGGCACAGUCAGAUGUGAAAUUCCCGGGCUUAACCUGGGGGCUGCAUUUGAUACGUGUUGUCUUGAGUUCGGAAGAGGGUCGUGGAAUUCCCAGUGUAGAGGUGAAAUUCGUAGAUAUUGGGAAGAACACCGGGGCGAAGGCGGCGACCUGGUCCGACACUGACGCUGAGGCGCGAAAGCGUGGGGAGCGAUCCGG